CACUGUGCGUCUAGGUACCUUCCGUAAUUGGUAAUCAGUGGCCCGUGACGCAUGGCGGGGUGCGCACGCUCAUUAGGUUCGGAGAUAUUGCAGUUUGGGGUCGCCCGCGACCCGUGUUGUCAAAAAUUUGCCCCAAUCUCUUAAAGUGAUAAUGCUUCAUGUUUUGGGAGUAGAUGAAGAAAACAGUGCUCAGGUAGCCCAAACUCGAUCAACUUCAAGUUCCCGCUGCUAUUUAUGCACUAGAGCCAAAGAUAGGAAGGGCAGAGAGAAAUGUGUUAAGUGCUCCAAAAAUAUAUGUGCACAACACAGGUUACCUAUUUGUCACCAAUGUAUCUAGAUUUUCAGAUUUGUACUAAAUUUUUUUCCCUUAAGCAUUCCAUUAAUAUCCAACAAACCUUGUAAUAAUUGUUUAAAUUUAUUAAAGUUUAAUAUUUUGUAAGUAA